GAUUCUUCAUGAAGACUUUUCAUGAUACUUCUUUCAUGAUACUUAGUAUUCUUGUUAAUUAAAAUAGUUGAGCCAAGAGAUAUAAUGCAACUUUUUACUUUUUGUACUGAUAGCAGUACAAGACUUAAAGGGGGAGACACCGCAAGAAGGACCUUCUACUUUGAUAGAACAUGGACAAAAUUUUAAAGGGAAGACAUUGCUAGGGCAAUCUUCUAGUUCAACAGAACAUGAAUUAACUUAUCAAUCAUCUUCUGAUGCUUGUUCAAUCCAUGGAAUAGUUGAACUCAAGCCUGAAAAUGAGACUGAUACCCAGUUGAAGAUGGAAACAAUGCUCUCAAAAAUGAAUUCAUGCGGUGGAGAUGUCAUUGAUUUGGAGCAGGAAAACUCUCCCUCGCCUACUCUGAACACAGUGAAGAAGCUUGAGUUGAAUCCAGUAGUGGCCCCCAACUCCAAGGCUCUGACUGAACAAUCACAAACUAGUCCUCUUCUUACAGAACAACUCACUGAUGGUCCAUCUGUUGGAGAGAAUAAUCCUGAUCACCUUCAAGCUCCCUUAGAUUCUAUGCCAAAUGAGGAUGAUGGUGUGGAAGAUACAUUUGCCAAUCCAGAUAA